rnacentral:rRNA from 1 species
CGGCGGCUGGCACCCGUCUUACCCAGCCCUUACUCUCCCUGUUUUUUAGACAGGAAAACAGCCAGCACAUUGUGCUGGCACUUGGCUUUCCCUCGUCGGGGUUUCCCCCAUUGCGAAGUUUUCGCGCCUGGUGCA